CAGUAGCCGCGGUAAUACGAAGGGUGCAAGCGUUAAUCGGAAUUACUGGGCGUAAAGCGUGCGUAGGCGGUUUGUUAAGUCUGCUGUGAAAUCCCCGGGCUCAACCUGGGAAUGGCAGUGGAUACUGGCAAGCUAGAGUGUGUCAGAGGAUGGUGGAAUUCCCGGUGUAGCGGUGAAAUGCGUAGAGAUCUGGAGGAAUACCGAUGGCGAAGGCAGCCAUCUGGCCUAAUACUGACGCUGAGGUACGAAAGCAUGGGGAGCAAACAGGAUUAGAUACCCGUGUAGUCCCUGUCUCUUAUAC
rnacentral:rRNA from 1 species